UUUUAGUGGCGAACGGGUGAGUAACACGUAAGCAACCUGCCUUUAAGACGAGAAUAACAAUUGGAAACAGUUGCUAAGGCUGGAUAGGAAAUAAAAAGGCAUCUUUUUAUUUUUAAAAGACCUUCUUCGGAGGGUAUGCUUAAAGAGGGGCUUGCGUCACAUUAGUUAGUUGGUAGGGUAAUGGCCUACCAAGACGAUGAUGUGUAGCUGGACUGAGAGGUUGAACAGCCACAUUGGGACUGAGACACGGCCCAAACUCCUACGGGAGGCAGCAGUAGGGAAUUUUCGGCAAUGGAGGAAACUCUGACCGAGCAACGCCGCGUGAACGACGAAGUACUUCGGUAUGUAAAGUUCUUUUAUUGAAGAAGAAACAAUAGUGGAAAAACUAUCUUGACGUUAUUCAAUGAAUAAGCCCCGGCUAACUAUGUGCCAGCAGCCGCGGUAAUACAUAGGGGGCGAGCGUUAUCCGGAAUUAUUGGGCGUAAAGGGUGCGUAGGCGGUUUAAUAAGUCUCUAGUUUAAUUUCAACGCUUAACGUUGUCCUGCUAGAGAAACUGUUUGACUAGAGUGAGAUAGAGGUAAGCGGAAUUCCAUGUGUAGCGGUAAAAUGUGUAAAUAUAUGGAGGAACACCAGAGGCGUAGGCGGCUUACUGGGUCUUUACUGACGCUGAUGCACGAAAGCGUGGGGAGCAAACAGGAUUAGAUACCCUGGUAGUCCACGCCGUAAACUAUGAGUACUAAGUGUCGGGGUUAAACUCGGUACUGAAGUUAACACAUUAAGUACUCCGCCUGAGUAGUACGUACGCAAGUAUGAAACUUAAAGGAAUUGACGGGAUCCCGCACAAGCGGUGGAUCAUGUUGUUUAAUUCGAAGAUACACGAAAAACCUUACCAGGUCUUGACAUACUCUGCAAAACUAUAGAAAUAUAGUGGAGGUUAUCAGGGAUACAGGUGGUGCAUGGUUGUCGUCAGCUCGUGUCGUGAGAUGUUAGGUUAAGUUCUAAAACGAGCGCAACCCCUGUCGUUAAUUGCCAGCACGUUAUGGUGGGGACUUUAGCGAGACUGCCAAUGAAAAAUUGGAGGAAGGUGGGGAUUACGUCAAAUCAUCAUGCCCCUUAUGAUCUGGGCUACAAACGUGAUACAAUGGCUAUUACAAAGAGUAGCUUAAACGCGAGUUUUUGGCAAAUCUCAAAAAAAUAGUCUUAGUUCGGAUUGAAGUCUGCAACUCGACUUCAUGAAGUUGGAAUCGCUAGUAAUCGCGAAUCAGCAUGUCGCGGUGAAUACGUUCUCGGGGUUUGUACACACCGCCCGUCAAACC
rnacentral:rRNA from 1 species